GCCUUCUUAGCUCAGAGGUAGAGCGUUCCACUCGUACAUCAAUAUUGAUAGGUAUUGCAUGGAAAGGUCGCUAGUUCAAGUCUGGUAGGAGGCA